UACAGAGGGGGCAAGCGUUGUUCGGAAUUACUGGGCGUAAAGGGCGCGUAGGCGGCCUUCUAAGUCGAACGUGAAAUCCCCGGGCUCAACCCGGGAACUGCGUCCGAGACUGGAAGGCUUGAAUCCGGGAGAGGGAUGUGGAAUUCCAGGUGUAGCGGUGAAAUUCGUAGAUAUCGGGAGGAACACCGGUGGCGAAGGCGGCGACCUGGGUAGAUACUGACGCUGAGGUGCGAAAGCGUGGGGAGCAAACAGG
rnacentral:rRNA from 1 species